rnacentral:rRNA from 1 species
AGCGGGGGAGUAGCAAUACUCCCGCCGGCGACCGGCGCACGGGUGAGUAACACGUAUGAAACCUGCCCGUAGCAGGGGGAUAAGCGGAAGAAAUUCCGUCUAAUACCGCGUAACAACCCAUGGAGGCAUCUCCGUGGGUUUAAAGGAAGCGAUUCCGGCUACGGAUGGUCAUGCGUCGCAUUAGCUUGUUGGCGGGGUAACGGCCCACCAAGGCGACGAUGCGUAGGGGUUCUGAGAGGAAGGUCCCCCACACUGGUACUGAGACACGGACCAGACUCCUACGGGAGGCAGCAGUGAGGAAUAUUGGUCAAUGGCCGCAGGGCUGAACCAGCCAAGUCGCGUGAGGGAUGACGGUCCUAUGGAUUGUAAACCUCUUUUGUCAGGGAGCAAAGGGCGCCACGUGUGGCGUUUUGCGAGUACCUGAAGAAAAAGCAUCGGCUAACUCCGUGCCAGCAGCCGCGGUAAUACGGAGGAUGCGAGAGUUAUCCGGAUUUAUUGGGUUUAAAGGGUGCGCAGGCGGAAUGUCAAGUCAGCGGUAAAAUUUCGGGGCUCAACCCCGUCGUGCCGUUGAAACUGGCGUUCUUGAGUGAGCGAGAAGUAUGCGGAAUGCGUGGUGUAGCGGUGAAAUGCAUAGAUAUCACGCAGAACUCCGAUUGCGAAGGCAGCAUACCGGCGCUCAACUGACGCUCAUGCACGAAAGCGUGGGUAUCGAACA